rnacentral:rRNA from 1 species
UACGUAGGGUGCGAGCGUUGUCCGGAAUUAUUGGGCGUAAAGAGCUUGUAGGCGGUUUGUCGCGUCUGCCGUGAAAAUUCGAGGCUCAACCUCGAACUUGCGGUGGGUACGGGCAGACUAGAGUGUGGUAGGGGAGACUGGAAUUCCUGGUGUAGCGGUGGAAUGCGCAGAUAUCAGGAGGAACACCGAUGGCGAAGGCAGGUCUCUGGGCCAUUACUGACGCUGAGCUGCGAAAGCUAGGGGAGCAAACAGG